GACGAACGCUGGCGGCGUGCUUAACACAUGCAAGUCGAGCGGUAAGGCCCUUUCGGGGGUAUACGAGCGGCGAACGGGUGAGUAACACGUGAGCAACCUGCCCUUCUCUUUGGAAUAAGCGUUGGAAACGACGUCUAAUGCCGAAUAUGACCCCCUGUCGCAUGGUGGGGGGUGGAAAGCCCUGGCGGAGAAGGAUGGGCUCGCGGCCUAUCAGCUUGUUGGUGUGGGUAAUGGCCCACCAAGGCGACGACGGGUAGCCGGCCUGAGAGGGUGACCGGCCACACUGGGACUGAGACACGGCCCAGACUCCUACGGGAGGCAGCAGUGGGGAAUAUUGGACAAUGGGCGAAAGCCUGAUCCAGCAACGCCGCGUGAGGGAUGACGGCCUUCGGGUUGUAAACCUCUUUCGCCUGUGACGAAGCGCAAGUGACGGUAACAGGUAAAGAAGCACCGGCCAACUACGUGCCAGCCGCCGCCGUAA
rnacentral:rRNA from 1 species